UGAGUAACCUGCCCCUUCUCUUCGGAAUAAGCCGUUAGGAAACGCGUCUAA
rnacentral:rRNA from 1 species